UGGGAGCGCAUCAGGCUGCUGUAGUCGCGCCUCUUUCAGUCUCCUGGAUGCAAAAGCAAAUGGUUUUAAAUACAGCAAUUCUUUCUUUAGAGCUCCAUGAAUUGUGGACACAGAGCAUGCUCUACAGGUAUUAGUUACAGGAUUCAGGACUAAAAAAUAACUGGGUGAGCAGUUCUUGCACGAGUGUCCUGCAGUUCAACUGUUUCCAAGUGUCUGUAAACCAAAAAUCAGAGAGGAUGUCUCAGAAGGUGUUGGGAUCUCAGGAAAGUGCACACAACCUCCUGACUUCCUCUGUAAUUUGCACUAGAUGCUACCGGAGCCUGCAAUCUCAAAUGGUCCUCACUUGGAAAGUACACACACAAAGAGUAAAGAAGAUAGAGUAGAACCUUUGAAACUUUAUUUGAAAACAAUCAAACAAGUAAACAGGGUUCUGCAAUUCCUUUUUUGUCUCUUUUAACAUUUUUUUCUCCCAGACUUUAGUUCUCUAGAUAUUCAUCUCCUUCUUCAGCCUCUGCUUCUACUGCAUCUACACCAACUUCUUCAUAAUCUUUCUCAAGGGCAGCCAGAUCUUCGCGGGCUUCGGAAAACUCCCCUUCCUCCAUUCCUUCCCCAACGUACCAGUGCACAAAGGCACGCUUGGCGUACAUGAGAUCGAACUUGUGGUCCAGGCGAGCCCACGCCUCAGCGAUGGCAGUGGUGUUGCUCAACAUGCAGACGGCCCGCUGCACCUUGGCGAGGUCACCACCCGGCACCACGGUGGGAGGCUGGUAGUUAAUGCCCACCUGCGAGAGAACAAAUGAAAACCUGCUUCAGGAGCGCUAAGGCUGAGACAUUUCUGUUAACAAUUAAAAAGCUACGGUUAUGAACAAGUAGAAUAGCUUAGUUAUUUUGCACUUUAUCCAAAUAUUUAACAGGGACAUUACAACAUUGUACGCUGACUGUUGGCUCCGAAUACCACACCAUUUCUAGUAACUCAAAUAUCGAGCACUUAAGCUAUGCAAGUACCUUGAAUCCAGUUGGACACCAAUCCACAAACUGAAUGGUGCGUUUAGUCUUGAUGGUAGCAAUAGCUGCAUUGACGUCUUUAGGAACCACGUCGCCGCGGUACAACAUGCAGCAGGCCAUGUAUUUGCCGUGGCGAGGGUCGCAUUUCACCAUCUGGUUGGCUGGUUCAAAACACGCGUUGGUGAUUUCAGCCACGGAUAACUGCUCGUGAUAGGCCUUCUCAGCUGAGAUCACAGGGGCGUAUGUUACCAGAGGGAAAUGGAUUCGUGGGUAUGGGACAAGGUUGGUUUGAAAUUCUGUCAGAUCUACGUUGAGGGCUCCAUCAAAGCGCAGUGAAGCUGUGAUGGAUGAAACAAUUUGCCCAAUUAAUCGGUUUAAGUUGGUGUAAGUAGGACGUUCAAUGUCAAGGUUACGACGACAUAUAUCAUAAAUGGCUUCAUUAUCUACCAUGAACGCACAGUCGGAGUGCUCUAGUGUUGUGUGGGUAGUUAGGAUUGUGUUGUAAGGCUCCACUACAGCCGUGGAAACUUGUGGUGCUGGAUAAAUCGCAAACUCUAGUUUAGAUUUUUUGCCGUAGUCAACUGACAGCCUUUCCAUGAGCAGAGAUGCAAACCCUGAACCGGUGCCUCCUCCAAAACUGUGGAAGAUAAGGAAACCUUGCAGCCCUGUGCACAGAUCGGCCUGUAAUGGGGUGGGAAAAGAGUGGGAGAAGAAGCUAUUAAUGACUUCAGAGAAAGCAAUAUUAAAAGAAUCAUUCAAAACUAUUUCUUAAGUUUUUUAGUUUUACAUUGUUAUAAUAUAAAACUAGCAUUCUUGAAAGCAUUCUAGCAUUCUUUUUUCUUGCAUGUUUUCUACUCAAGAGUACCAGUUCCUAUACAUAACUUUUUUUCUGAAGUAUUUUAAUAUUUAAAAAUCGCGUUGUUUCUGAUGCCAUGUUAAUACUGCUGUAAGCACAACUGUGCACCGCUGUGACAACUUAUUAAAAGCUACAGCAGAGUUCCAGCU